rnacentral:tRNA from 1 species
GGGCCCGUGGCGCAGCUCGGAUAGCGCGGCGACAACCGAAGCCGUUGGUCGGGGGUUCGAAUCCCCCCGGGCCCG